rnacentral:rRNA from 1 species
GACGAACGCUGGCGGCGUGCUUAACACAUGCAAGUCGAGCGGAGCGGCGAACGGGUGAGUAACGCGUUAGUAACUGCCCCCCUCUCUGGGAUAACAGUUGGAAACGGCUGCUAAUACCGGAUAGUGGGGGAUGACUCGCGUCCUAUCAGCUUGUUGGUUGGGUAGUGGCCUACCAAGGCGACGACGGGUAGCCGGCCUGAGAGGGCGACCGGCCACAGUGGGCUGAGAUACGGACCAAACUCCUACAGGAGGCAGCAGUGGGGAAUAUUGCACAAGGGGGGAAACUAUGAUGCAGAAACGCCGCGGGCGGGAUGACGGCCUUGGGGGUGGAAACCGAUUUCAGCCAAGACGCGGUAGUGGCAGAAGAAGCACCGGCUAACUACGUGCCAGCAGCCGCGGUAAUAC